rnacentral:lncRNA from 1 species
GCCUCAGAAUGCAGUGGUGGAGACUAUGAAUAACUUUGGCAAUUAAGAGCAAGGCAUGCAUGACAAACCCUUCUUUGUAUUUUUUUUAUUCAUAAAAACUAUCUGAAGAAAAUCUUAUAUUUCUUCUGCUUCUUUUUGUACAGGUCUAUGGCUGGUUUCUCACACCCAGAAUUGCCCUCCUAUCACCACUUGAAAUUUAUGGUGAGCAAUUCUCUGACAUGAGUGUCUGGUGGUAGACUUGCACAUGGAGUGUGAUUAGGCCAGACUUCCUUUUUGGCAAAAUGAAAACCCUAAACCAUGGCACUUGAAGUGGAUCUUUUCUUGGACUGGCAUAGGGAGGUGUGAAAAUUACUCUGGUUUUAGUGAUGAUGGUUGUUGAGAACAAAAGUGACUCUCAAACACAACCUUAAAACCAAAUGUGAUUGCAGCUCUUGAAGUAUCAAUAUGAGGAGUGUAUUUUGAUUUCGAACUGAAUCUCCUGCAAAGAGAAUUGAAUGUAA